rnacentral:rRNA from 1 species
CACUCCUGCGGGAGGCAGCAGUGGGGAAUAUUGCACAAUGGGCGCAAGCCUGAUGCAGCGACGCCGCGUGGGGGAUGAAGGCCUUCGGGUUGUAAACUCCUUUCGCUAGGGACGAAGCUUUUUUGUGACGGUACCUAGAUAAGAAGCACCGGCUAACUACGUGCCAGCAGCCGCGGUAAUACGUAGGGUGCGAGCGUUGUCCGGAAUUACUGGGCGUAAAGGGCUCGUAGGUGGUUUGUCGCGUCGUCUGUGAAAUUCUGGGGCUUAACUCCGGGCGUGCAGGCGAUACGGGCAUAACUUGAGUGCUGUAGGGGUAACUGGAAUUCCUGGUGUAGCGGUGAAAUGCGCAGAUAUCAGGAGGAACACCGAUGGCGAAGGCAGGUUACUGGGCAGUUACUGACGCUGAGGAGCGAAAGCAUGGGUAGCGAACAGGAUUAGAAACCCGUGUAGUCCC